rnacentral:rRNA from 1 species
AGAGUUUGAUCAUGGCUCAGAACGAACGCUGGCGGCAGGCUUAACACAUGCAAGUCGAACGAUGUAGCAAUACAUAGUGGCGCACGGGUGAGUAACGCAUGGGAAUAUACCUUAUAGUGGGGAAUAACUUUGGGAAACUAAAGCUAAUACCGCAUACGCCCGAGAGGGGAAAGAUUUAUCGCUAUAAGAUUAGCCCGCGUGAGAUUAGGUAGUUGGUGGGGUAAUGGCCUACCAAGCCUACGAUCUCUAGCUGGUCUGAGAGGAUGAUCAGCCACACUGGAACUGAGACACGGUCCAGACUCCUACGGGAGGCAGCAGUGGGGAAUAUUGGGCAAUGGAGGAAACUCUGACCCAGCCAUGCCGCGUGAAUGAUGAAGGCCUUAGGGUUGUAAAGUUCUUUCGCCGAUGAAGAUAAUGACGGUAGUCGGAGAAGAAGCCCCGGCUAACUUCGUGCCAGCAGCCGCGGUAAUACGUAGGGUGCGAGCGUUGUCCGGAAUUACUGGGCGUAAAGAGCUCGUAGGUGGUUUGUCGCGUUGUUCGUGAAAUCUCACGGCUUAACUGUGAGCGUGCGGGCGAUACGGGCAGACUUGAGUACUGCAGGGGAGACUGGAAUUCCUGGUGUAGCGGUGGAAUGCGCAGAUAUCAGGAGGAACACCGGUGGCGAAGGCGGGUCUCUGGGCAGUAACUGACGCUGAGGAGCGAAAGCGUGGGGAGCGAACAGGAUUAGAUACCCUGGUAGUCCAA